GAUGCUGAACAAGGUGCAGGUGUUGGUGAUGUGACUUAUGCUGAGAUUGAACUAAAACCAACAAAAAAAAUCGAAGAAAGUAAAAGAGAAAGCCAGUCUGGGUGAUGAUACUGUAUACUCAGAGCUUCAACAGAACAUGAAGUGAGCCGUGAGUCUGUGCACGCUGAUGAAGUGACAGUCAUCAAACAGAUCAUUGGAAAACUGUUAAUUGUGUC